rnacentral:rRNA from 1 species
AGAGCGAACGCUGGCGGCAGGCCUAACACAUGCAAGUCGAGCGCCCGUAGCAAUACGGGAGCGGCAGACGGGAUAGUAACACGUGGGAACGCGCCCUUCGGUUCGGAAUAACUCAGGGAAACUUGAGCUAAUACCGAAUACGCCCUUACGGGGAAAGAUUUAUUGCCGAAGGAACGGCCCGCGUCCGAUUAGCUAGUUGGUGAGGUAAUGGCUCACCAAGGCUACGAUCGGUAGCUGGUCUGAGAGGAUGACCAGCAUCACUGGGACUGAGACACGGCCCAGACUCCUACGGGAGGCAGCAGUGGGGAAUAUUGGACAAUGGGCGAAAGCCUGAUCCAGCCAUGCCGCGUGGAUGAUGAAGGCCUUAGGGUUGUAAAGUCCUUUUAACGGGGAAGAUAAUGACGGUACCCGUAGAAUAAGCCCCGGCUAACUUCGCGCCAGCAGCCGC